rnacentral:rRNA from 1 species
ACGGGUGCGUAACGCGUAAGGUAAUCUCGCCCUGGAGGUCUGACACUAACCCGUCGAUAGGGCGGGCUAACAUCAGAUGAUAUAUAAUCACGACAUCGUGGAAAUAUCAAAUCUUCGGAGCCUUGGGAUGAGCCUGCGUCUGAUUAGGUAGUUGGCGGAGUAAUAGCCCACCAAGCCUACGAUCAGUAGCUGGUCUGAGAGGAUGAUCAGCCACACUGGAACUGAGACACGGUCCAGACUCCUACGGGAGGCAGCAGUAAGGAAUAUUGCUCAAUGGGGGAAACCCUGAAGCAGCAACGCCGCGUGAAGGAUGAAAUACUUUGUAUGUAAACUUCUGUAAGAUGGGAAAAUAUUCUCCUCGGGAGAAUUGAUUGUACCAUCAGAGUAAGCCCCGGCUAACUACGUG